rnacentral:lncRNA from 1 species
GAAGCUUGAAAUGAGAGCUUGAGGCUUCAUUAUUGCUGCCUCUGGAAAACAAGAAUGAUGUGAUUUAUUGUCUUUUAUUUCAUGUCAUUAAUUUUAUUAUCUUCUAUGUUAGAUUUGUUUCCUUUAGAACUGUUGAGGCCCUGUACCAAUAGUCUUUUUUCCUGAAGCUUGACAGUUUUAAUAAAUGCUCAGUGUUACACUGUGUAGGGCAAGUUCCUUUCCUGGUUUUUAAAUACAGGUGUUCUCUUUUACCCUUGAAACCACCAGACAAAAACAUAUUUGUCUGUCUUUGAUAAUGAGGAACAGACUUCAGCCUGGUAAAGAGUGCUUAAAAAUCUGUCUUUGAGACCUACUAAGUAAAUUCUUUAGCUUAUGUUCAGUUUCAGAACUUAAUGCAGAAUUUAAAUAAGCGAAAUGUUGCCACAGGAAAUGUUAAAGAAAUAAUUAUAUACACUGAAAACAUUUUUCUUCUCUUAGAAAAUGGUUUUUGGAGUUAGACACAGGACACUGCCAUGCAUCACUGCCGAGGGGCUUCUCACUGGGGUUUAAGAUUGGCUUCUGUGGUCCCUUUUGCACAGAAUAAAGCUUGCUUUGCUAAUUU